rnacentral:rRNA from 1 species
CCUACGGGUGGCAGCAGUGGGGAAUAUUGGGCAAUGGACGCAAGUCUGACCCAGCAACGCCGCGUGAAGGAAGAAGGCUUUCGGGUUGUAAACUUCUUUUAAGGGGGAAGAGCAGAAGAAGGUACCCCUUGAAUAAGCCAAGGCUAACUACGUGCCAGCAGCCGCGGUAAUACGUAGGUGGCAAGCGUUGUCCGGAUUUACUGGGUGGAAAGGGCGUGUAGCCGGGUUGACAAGUCAGAUGUGAAAUCCUGCGGCUUAACCGCAGAACUGCAUUUGAAACUGUUGAUCUUGAGUACUGGAGAGGCAGCUGGCCUUCCUUGUGUAGCGGUGAAAUGCGUAGAUAUUAGGAGGAACACCAGUGGCGAAGGCGGUCUGCUGGACAGCAACUGACGGUGAGGCGCGAAAGCGUGGGGAGCAAACAGGAUUAGAUACCCCUGUAGUC